GACCGAACGAAUGUGUUAAAAACAAAUUCAUUAUCUAAAAACAUUCAUUCUUGAAUCAAAUCAAAGAGAAGCAUCAGAGACGGACAAAUCGCCUGUGAUUACUCACUUAAAAAGGCCCGCCCAUUUAUUCGAGUGUGGUAUUUAUGUUUAUCUCGAAAUGUCAAGUUUAUACAAAGGACGAAAAGCACGUAUGCGCAAAUCGUGACCUCUUACUAACACUUGUUGACAGUGGAAUAGUUGCUUCUUAAGCGCAGGUCGACUUACCCACCACUCGGCGUCUUCACCUUCGCCUUUGACGAGAAUGACGUCACCCUCCAUAAAUGAAAGCUCGUCAUCAUUGUCAGCCUCGCAAUCAUACAGCGCCUGAACUCUGCGCGGGAACUGGCUCACGGGGACCUGGGGACGAAGGUA